rnacentral:rRNA from 1 species
GAUGAACGCUGGCGGCGUGCCUAAUACAUGCAAGUCGAGCGAACAGACGAGGAGCUUGCUCCUCUGACGUUAGCGGCGGACGGGUGAGUAACACGUGGAUAACCUACCUAUAAGACUGGGAUAACUUCGGGAAACCGGAGCUAAUACCGGAUAAUAUAUUGAACCGCAUGGUUCAAUAGUGAAAGACGGUUUUGCUGUCACUUAUAGAUGGAUCCGCGCCGCAUUAGCUAGUUGGUAAGGUAACGGCUUACCAAGGAAACGAUGCGUAGCCGACCUGAGAGGGUGUACGGCCACACUGGAACUGAGACACGGUCCAGACUCCUACGGGAGGCAGCAGUAGGGAAGCUUCCGCAAUGGGCGAAAGCUUGACGGAGCAACGCCGCGUGAGUGAUGAAGGUCUUCGGAUCGUAAAACGCUGUUAUUAGGGAAGAACAAAUGUGUAAGUAACUAUGCACGUCUUGACGGUACCGAAUCAGAAAGCCACGGCUAACUACGU